rnacentral:rRNA from 1 species
ACUCAAAUGAAUAGACGGGGGCCCGCACAAGCAGUGGAUUAUGUGGUUUAAUUCGAAGCAACGCGAAGAACCUUACCAGGCCUUGACAUCCCGCCAACGAGGCAGAGAUGCGUCAGGUGCCCCUCGGGGAGGGCGGAGACAGGUGGUGCAUGGUUGUCGUCAGCUCGUGUCGUGAGAUGUUGGGUUAAGUCCCGCAACGAGCGCAACCCCUAUUGCUAGUUGCUACGCGAGAGCACUCUAGCGAGACUGCCGUUGACAAAACGGAGGAAGGCGGGGACGACGUCAAAUCAUCAUGCCCCUUAUGGCCUGGGCUACACACGUAAUACAAUGGCGCCCAACAGAGGGAAGCGAAGCCGCGAGGCGGAGCGAAUCCCGAAAAGGCGUCCCAGUUCGGAUCGCAGGCUGCAACCCGCCUGCGUGAAGUCGGAAUUGCUAGUAAUCGCGGAUCAGCAAGCCGCGGUGAAUACGUUCCCGGGCCUUGUACACACCGCCCGU